rnacentral:rRNA from 1 species
AUACGUAGGUGGCGAGCGUUGUCCGGAAUUACUGGGUGUAAAGGGCGUGUAGGCGGGAUGGUAAGUCAGAUGUGAAAUACCAGGGCUUAACUCUGGGGCUGCAUCUGAAACUACUGUUCUUGAGUGCCGGAGAGGAAAGCGGAAUUCCCAGUGUAGCGGUGAAAUGCGUAGAUAUUGGGAGGAACACCAGUGGCGAAGGCGGCUUUCUGGACGGUAACUGACGCUGAGGCGCGAAAGCGUGGGGAGCAAACAGGAUUAGAUACCCUGGUAGUCCACGCCGUAAACGAUGGAUACUAGGUGUAGGAGGUAUCGACCCCUUCUGUGCCGGAGUUAACACAAUAAGUAUCCCACCUGGGGAGUACGGCCGCAAGGCUGAA